rnacentral:rRNA from 1 species
AGAACGAACGCUGGCGGCAGGCCUCAAACAUGCAAGUCUAGGGGGUGUAGCAAUACAUCACCGGCGGACGGGUGCGUAACACGUGGGAAUAUACCUUUUGGUUCGGAACAACGCAGGGAAACUUGCGCUAAUACCGAAUGUGCCCUUACGGGGAAAGAUUUAUCGCCAAAGGAUUAGCCCGCGUAGGAUUAGCUAGUUGGUGAGGUAAUGGCUCACCAAGGCUCCGAUCCUUAGCUGUUCUGAGAGGAAGAUCAGCCACACUGGGACUGAGACACGGCCCAGACUCCUACGGGAGGCAGCAGUUGGGAAUCUUGGACAAUGGGGGAAACCCUGAUCCAGCCAUGCCGCGUGAGUGAUGAAGGCCUUCGGGUUGUAAAGCACUUUUAUCCGGAACGAACGCGCAGGGUGAAUAUCCUUGCGAACUGACGGUACCGGAGGAAUAAGCACCGGCUAACUUCGUGCCAGCAGCCGC